rnacentral:rRNA from 1 species
GACGGAGGAUGCAAGCGUUAUCCGGAAUGAUUGGGCGUAAAGCGUCCGCAGGUGGCAGUUCAAGUCUGCUGUCAAAGACCGGGGCUUAACUUCGGAAAGGCAGUGGAAACUGAACAGCUAGAGUAUGGUAGGGGCAGAGGGAAUUCCUGGUGUAGGCGGUGAAAUGCGUAGAGAUCAGGAAGAACAUCGGUGGCGAAGGCGCUCUGCUGGACCAUAACUGACACUCAGGGACGAAAGCUAGGGGAGCGAAUGG